ACAACUGCAGCGAGAGAAGAGGCUGGCAGCAUGGGUGGCAGGAGGCUUGNAGCCUCACAGGAUGCCUGCAAAUACCUUUCACUUAUGCAGUUUGGCAGUGCAGUGGUGCAUGGAGACAGCGUCUUGGGCCUGGCACCCACAGCCACUUAGGAAGUUGGAGUCCUGGAGAGGAGAACACAGAACGUGGACAACUAGCUGUCAAAUUGCAGUAAAAGUUGGUUCAGGAAAAGUGGAAGCUACCCAGAUGUCUACCAAUUGGCCAACAACAAUACCUGCUCACUAUAAGCAUUCAGAAAACAGAAAAGUUUCAAGAAGCAGGAAGAAAAGACUCACCUAUGAUCCCAACACCCAGAGUACAGAAGCUUCUAUUCUGGAAUAGAACAGCUAGCAUACUACCAAGACUUUUCAAGGAGCAAGAAUGGAGCUCCCUGGAGAACUGACUGAACAUGGCUUCAGAGGCAGUAUCCAUAUAAGAGUCCUGAAGCUCAGAUGACACAGCUGAUAACAGGGAAGCCAGGACAGAAUCUCAUUGUUUUGAACACCAAAACCCGUUCCCUUGACAACUUGGCUAUACUACACUAUUCGAAUGUUGCAGAUACUGUGGUCACAUUUCAAAGGCCAGAUCUUUCCCAGGGCUUAAGCUGUUCCUUGGAUACUUUUGCUGAUGGUUUACACAUCUUCUUCCCACAUUAUAUUGUAACUUUCUU
rnacentral:antisense_RNA from 1 species